UGGGGAAUAUUGGACAAUGGGCGAAAGCCUGAUCCAGCCAUGCCGCGUGUGUGAAGAAGGCCUUUUGGUUGUAAAGCACUUUAAGCGAGGAGGAGGCUACCGAGAUUAAUACUCUUGGAUAGUGGACGUUACUCGCAGAAUAAGCACCGGCUAACUCUGUGCCAGCAGCCGCGGUAAUACAGAGGGUGCGAGCGUUAAUCGGAUUUACUGGGCGUAAAGCGUGCGUAGGCGGCUUCUUAAGUCGGAUGUGAAAUCCCUGAGCUUAACUUAGGAAUUGCAUUCGAUACUGGGAAGCUAGAGUAUGGGAGAGGAUGGUAGAAUUCCAGGUGUAGCGGUGAAAUGCGUAGAGAUCUGGAGGAAUACCGAUGGCGAAGGCAGCCAUCUGGCCUAAUACUGACGCUGAGGUACGAAAGCAUGGGGAGCAAACAGG
rnacentral:rRNA from 1 species